UACGUAGGGUGCAAGCGUUGUCCGGAAUUAUUGGGCGUAAAGAGCUCGUAGGCGGCCUGUCGCGUCGGCUGUGAAAACUCGGGGCUCAACUCCGAGCUUGCAGUCGAUACGGGCAGGCUAGAGUUCGGCAGGGGAGACUGGAAUUCCUGGUGUAGCGGUGAAAUGCGCAGAUAUCAGGAGGAACACCGGUGGCGAAGGCGGGUCUCUGGGCCGUUACUGACGCUGAGGAGCGAAAGCGUGGGGAGCGAACAGG
rnacentral:rRNA from 1 species